rnacentral:rRNA from 1 species
UACGGGGGGGGCAAGCGUUGUUUGGAAUUACUGGGCGUAAAGGGCUCGUAGGCGGCCAACUAAGUCAUACGUGAAAUCCCUCGGCUUAACCGGGGAACUGCGUCUGAUACUGGUUGGCUUGAGUUCGGGAGAGGGAUGCGGAAUUCCAGGUGUAGCGGUGAAAUGCGUAGAUAUCUGGAGGAACACCGGUGGCGAAGGCGGCAUCCUGGACCGAUACUGACGCUGAGGAGCGAAAGCCAGGGGAGCAAACGGG